UAGGGAAUCUUCCACAAUGGACGAAAGUCUGAUGGAGCAACGCCGCGUGAGUGAAGAAGGGUUUCGGCUCGUAAAACUCUGUUGUCAAAGAAGAACAUAUCUGAGAGUAACUGUUCAGGUAUUGACGGUAUUUAACCAGAAAGCCACGGCUAACUACGUGCCAC
rnacentral:rRNA from 1 species